UUUCUAACUAAAUCGAUCUAUCUAUCUAUCUACCAUCUCAUAGCAACCACCUAGAACAACCUAGCAACCGCCUAGCAACCACACAAAUCACCCUGGCAACAUCCUAGUAACCAGCCCGAGUGCCUUAGCAACCACAUAGGAACACCCUAGCAACCACCCAGAAUUCCUUAGCAACCGUAUAGCAACACCUUAGCAACCACCCUGAGUACCCUAGCAACCACAUAGCAACACCCUAGCAACCACCCCGAGUACCCUAGCAACCGUAUAGCAACACCUUAGCAACCACCCUGAGUACCCUAGCAACCGCAUAGCAACACCCUACCAACCAUCCAAAAUACCUUAGCAACCACAUAGCAACACCCUAGCAACCACCCCUAGUACCUUAGCAACCACAAAGCAAAACCCCAGCAACCAUAUAAAACCCUUGCAACCACUCAGAGUACCCUGACUCUAUCUAUCUAUCUAUCUAUCUAUCUAUCUGUCUGUCUGUCUGUCUGUCUUUUAAACUACUAAACUAAAACUUAAACUUUCAAACUUUCAAACUUCAAACUUUUAAAACUACUUCAAACUUUCUGGACCGGCUUUUUCAAGCCAACUUAAAGUUUGUCUAAAAACUUUUUUAUUUUAUUAUUAUUAUUAUUAUUUAUUUUUAUUUUUUUUUACACACAUUAUAUGACUGUCUUUAAUUUUAAGUUACAUAAAAAUUGACAAUUACAAUUCUCAACCGCUAGAUGGCAACUGUGGCUCUACUGAGACAUGACUACUGGCAACGCGAGACUUGUUAGUUAGUAGAGAUCACUGUUCCCAGAUCUCGCGAUGAACAUUUCCACCAUUUUACAACUGUCGGACAGCAAGCAAGAGCAAAUGUUGAAGCAAAUUCUUUCCUGCUUUUGGUCUUGCUAUUUUCUUACUCAUAGUUUUCAGUCAGGCGACUGGAGCAGAGACCUGGAGGGCAAAACAUCCAUAGAACUGCAGGACAGGCCUGUCAAUUGCGUCUCAAAAAAGCACCCGAGCCAUCACGGACAUGGAAAGGUCUUGACACCUUGCCAAGAGCUGGAUUUUUUUGUGGAUGAAGUGACAGAUGGUCCUGAAGGGAAGACCAAGGUAGGCUAUGUCCACAUAUGACGACACACAUAUAUGUGCCAUUUUUUCAGUACCCAAACUCAACCGAGCCAUUACUGGAACAAAGGUUAGUUGUAUUUAAUCGUUUAUAUGCCUUCUGUUGCUAGGUCAGUCUUAUGUUUGUAAAAAAAAAAAAAAAAAAAAAAAAAAAAAAACUUUGUGGCAUUUUUUUCAACAUCAUAAUUUUGAGCUUUUUCAGGCCACAUUCACACAGCAGCAGAAUACGGUAGUCACUCCUGUCUUUGAGUCCUUAAUAUGGUUAUGUUCACAUACAGUACGGUUAUUUACGCAUUCAACCGCAUUCUAUAACCGAACUCACACCCGUACAUUUUCAGGACUCACAACUGCAUUCUCGGAAUAUUUGAGCUGUGUGAACGGAACUGGACAACUAGUUGUCUGUCAUGUCAUACAGUUCGAGUGUUUUGUUUGUGGUUUCGCUUUCGGUAACUUAAGCCCCGGGUAUACUCGCGGCCGGCCGCACGCCCCGUCCGCGUGCAGCCCAAAUGUCGCCUUAGGGGCUGGCUGCAGCGUGUGGAGUUCCACUUAAGGGCGGAAAUACGUCACCUCCACUAGAGGAGCUAGCUACUGUGGCCGCUGGGCAUGCGCACAUCAAUAUUGCGUCAUUUAAUUACUGUAUUUGCAUUAUUGUAAGGGUAGGUUUAGGGUUGGGGUAGGUGUAGACGUUAGUAAAACACAAGUGGAGGUGACGUAUUUCCUGUUCGAGAGUGGAGCUCCACUCGCCCAUGGUCUGGCAGCCAGACCCUUCUCAAAUUUCGAGAUCGUGCGGACAGCAAUACGCACAGUACUGAGCGCAAUCUGCAGUCGUCGAAGAAGAGUGUGUAAAGAGCGAUUCAAAAACAAGACGAGUAAACACUUCCUGUUCUCUUGGUGUAUCUUCUGAACUAUGUUGCAAUGGUGAAUGCACUAUUUUUCUUCUCCGAUCCUGCACAGCGAAUGUCCGGUUGAUGACACGAGGCGUUUCUCAAUACCAAGUUCGCAAAGUUCAGAGUUGCAUCCUUGGUAGUUAGGACUUGGCAAGUUCAACUCAGGAGAACGGACUCCCGUGAACGGGAGAACACAAGUCCGGUGAUUCAGCAAAUGGCACAGCAGCAUACUUGAUAAUGUCACUCAGCUCUCCGGUUAUCUCUGUGUAUAUUU